rnacentral:rRNA from 1 species
UACGAGGGGGGCAAGCGUUGUUCGGAAUUAUUGGGCGUAAAGGGCGCGUCGGCGGUGCGGUAAGUCACCUGUGAAAACUCUGGGCUCAACUCAGAGCCUGCAGGCGAAACUGCCGUGCUUGAGUGUGGGAGAGGUGCGUGGAAUUCCCGGUGUAGCGGUGAAAUGCGUAGAUAGCGGGAGGAACACCAGUGGCGAAGGCGACUUCCUGGCCUGUUCUUGACGCUGAGGCGCGAAAGCUAGGGGAGCAAACGGG